rnacentral:rRNA from 1 species
UACGAAGGGGGCGAGCGUUGUUCGGAAUAACUGGGCGUAAAGGGCGCGUAGGCGGUCUAUCUAGUUGGGCGUGAAAGCCCUGGGCUCAACCUGGGAGCUGCGUUUGAAACUACAAGGCUAGAGUGUAGCAGAGGGGGGUGGAAUUCCACGUGUAGCAGUGAAAUGCGUAGAGAUGUGGAGGAACACCGAUGGCGAAGGCAGCCCCCUGGGUUAACACUGUCGCUCAGGCACGAAAGCGUGGGGAGCAAACAGG